UUUUGGAAGUAAAAGU
rnacentral:rRNA from 1 species